GAUGAACGCUAGCUACAGGCUUAACACAUGCAAGUCGAGGGGAAACGACAUCGAAAGCUUGCUUUUGAUGGGCGUCGACCGGCGCACGGGUGAGUAACGCGUAUCCAACCUGCCCAUCACUUGGGAAUAACCUUGCGAAAGUAAGACUAAUACCCAAUGACAUCCCACGAAGACAUCUGAAUGGGAUUAAAGAUUUAUCGGUGAUGGAUGGGGAUGCGUCUGAUUAGCUUGUUGGCGGGGUAACGGCCCACCAAGGCAACGAUCAGUAGGGGUUCUGAGAGGAAGGUCCCCCACAUUGGAACUGAGACACGGUCCAAACUCCUACGGGAGGAAGCAGUGAGGAAUAUUGGUCAAUGGGCGAGAGCCUGAACCAGCCAAGUAGCGUGCAGGAUGACGGCCCUAUGGGCUGUAAACUGCUUUUAUAAGGGAAUAAAGUGGGUCUCGUGAGACUUUUUGCAUGUACCUUAUGAAUAAGGACCGGCUAAUUCCGUG
rnacentral:rRNA from 1 species